GGGUCAUUAUCCCAAUUGGACAAAUCAAUAACGGGUAUGGAUUGUUGUGGGAUGACAUUGAUCAAUGCAUCUUGGGGUUGAACGUACUGAGAGGGAAGGCUUUUGAUGCCCAAAUCAGAAAGACCCUUCACUCCAUUCCCUUUGUUAAUGACAAAAUCAGCGAUAUCAAAGGAAUCGGUGGAUGAUACUGCCAUUGUUGGAGCCAUUGCAAUUCAACAAUAUCAAGAUUAUUAACUGAGAAAAUCAAGAUUAUUAACUGAGAAAAUCAAUC
rnacentral:misc_RNA from 1 species